rnacentral:hammerhead_ribozyme from 1 species
AUCCAGCUGAUGAGUCCUAAAUAGGACGAAACGCAGAUUCUUUAU